UACGUAGGGUGCAAGCGUUAAUCGGAAUUACUGGGCGUAAAGCGUGCGCAGGCGGUUGUGCAAGACAGAUGUGAAAUCCCCGGGCUCAACCUGGGAAUUGCAUUUGUGACUGCACGGCUGGAGUGCGGCAGAGGGGGAUGGAAUUCCGCGUGUAGCAGUGAAAUGCGUAGAUAUGCGGAGGAACACCGAUGGCGAAGGCAAUCCCCUGGGCCUGCACUGACGCUCAUGCACGAAAGCGUGGGGAGCAAACAGG
rnacentral:rRNA from 1 species